rnacentral:rRNA from 1 species
GAUUAGCUUGUUGGCGGGGUAACGGCCCACCAAGGUAACGAUCAGUAGGGGUUCUGAGAGGAAGGUCCCCCACAUUGGAACUGAGACACGGUCCAAACUCCUACGGGAGGCAGCAGUGAGGAAUAUUGGUCAAUGGACGAGAGUCUGAACCAGCCAAGUAGCGUGCAGGAUGACGGCCCUAUGGGUUGUAAACUGCUUUUAUAAGGGAAUAAAGUGAGUCUCGUGAGGCUUUUUGCAUGUACCUUAUGAAUAAGGACCGGCUAAUUCCGUGCCAGCAGCCGCGGUAAUACGGAAGGUCCGGGCGUUAUCCGGAUUUAUUGGGUUUAAAGGGAGCGUAGGCCGGAGAUUAAGCGUGUUGUGAAAUGUAGAUGCUCAACAUCUGCACUGCAGCGCGAACUGGUUUCCUUGAGUACGCACAAAGUGGGCGGAAUUCGUGGUGUAGCGGUGAAAUGCUUAGAUAUCACGAAGAACUCCGAUUGCGAAGGCAGCUCACUGGAGCGCAACUGACGCUGAAGCUCGAAAGUGCGGGUAUCGAACAGGAUUAGAUACCCUGGUAGUCCGCACGGUAAACGAUGGAUGCCCGCUGUUGGUCUGAAUAGGUCAGCGGCCAAGUCGAGAGCAUUAAGCAUCCCACCUGGGGAGUAG